AGUGAACGCUGGCGGUAGGCCUAACACAUGCAAGUCGAACGGCGGCACAGUAAGAGCUUGCUCUUACGGGUGGCGAGUGGCGGACGGGUGAGGAAUACAUCGGAAUCUACUUUUUCGCGGGGGAUAACGUAGGGAAACUUACGCUAAUACCGCAUACGACCUACGGGUGAAAGCAGGGGAUCUUCGGACCUUGCGCGAUUGAAUGAGCCGAUGUCGGAUUAGCUAGUUGGCGGGGUAAAGGCCCACCAAGGCGACGAUCCGUAGCUGGUCUGAGAGGAUGAUCAGCCACACUGGAACUGAGACACGGUCCAGACUCCUACGGGAGGCAGCAGUGGGGAAUAUUGGACAAUGGGCACAAGCCUGAUCCAGCCAUACCGCGUGGGUGAAGAAGGCCUUCGGGUUGUAAAGCCCUUUUGUUGGGAAAGAAAAGCAGCAGGUUAAUACCCCGCUGUUCUGACGGUACCCAAAGAAUAAGCACCGGCUAACUUCGUG
rnacentral:rRNA from 1 species